UUUUAUUUGAGAGUUUGAUCCUGGCUCAGGAUGAACGCUGGCGGCGUGCCUAACACAUGCAAGUUGAGCGAUUUACUUCGGUAAAGAGCGGCGGACGGGUGAGUAACGCGUGGGUAACCUACCCUGUACACACGGAUAACAUACCGAAAGGUAUGCUAAUACGGGAUAAUAUAUUUGAGAGGCAUCUCUUGAAUAUCAAAGGUGAGCCAGUACAGGAUGGACCCGCGUCUGAUUAGCUAGUUGGUAAGGUAACGGCUUACCAAGGCGACGAUCAGUAGCCGACCUGAGAGGGUGAUCGGCCACAUUGGAACUGAGACACGGUCCAAACUCCUACGGGAGGCAGCAGUGGGGAAUAUUGCAC
rnacentral:rRNA from 1 species